GACGAACGCUGGCGGCGUGCUUAACACAUGCAAGUCGAACGGAAAGGCCCUGCUUUUGUGGGGUGCUCGAGUGGCGAACGGGUGAGUAACACGUGAGUAACCUGCCCUUGACUUUGGGAUAACUUCAGGAAACUGGGGCUAAUACCGGAUAGGAGCUCCUGCUGCAUGGUGGGGGUUGGAAAGUUUCGGCGGUUGGGGAUGGACUCGCGGCUUAUCAGCUUGUUGGUGGGGUAGUGGCUUACCAAGGCUUUGGCGGGUAGCCGGCCUGAGAGGGUGACCGGCCACAUUGGGCCUGCGAUACGGCCCAGACUCCUACGGGAGGCAGCAGUGGGGAAUAUUGCACAAUGGGCGGAAGCCUGAUGCAGCAACGCCGCGUGCGGGAUGACGGCCUUCGGGUUGUAAACCGCUUUCGCCUGUGACGAAGCGUGAGUGACGGUAAUGGGUAAAGAAGCACCGGCUAACUACGUG
rnacentral:rRNA from 1 species